ACUCCUACGGGAGGCAGCAGUGGGGAAUAUUGCACAAUGGGCGCAAGCCUGAUGCAGCCAUGCCGCGUGUAUGAAGAAGGCCUUCGGGUUGUAAAGUACUUUCAGCGGGGAGGAAGGCAAUACGGUUAAUAACCGUGUUGAUUGACGUUACCCGCAGAAGAAGCACCGGCUAACUCCGUGCCAGCAGCCGCGGUAAUACGGAGGGUGCAAGCGUUAAUCGGAAUUACUGGGCGUAAAGCGCACGCAGGCGGUCUGUCAAGUCGGAUGUGAAAUCCCCGGGCUCAACCUGGGAACUGCAUUCGAAACUGGCAGGCUUGAGUCUUGUAGAGGGGGGUAGAAUUCCAGGUGUAGCGGUGAAAUGCGUAGAGAUCUGGAGGAAUACCGGUGGCGAAGGCGGCCCCCUGGACAAAGACUGACGCUCAGGUGCGAAAGCGUGGGGAGCAAACAGGAUUAGAUACUCGGGUAGUCCCA
rnacentral:rRNA from 1 species